UUCCAAGACCCCUUCUGCUACCAUUUCCUUUCUGUUUCAAGAACGUGUUUCGGUCAUUCUUUUAGACUGGGUCUGGGGCAACAAAUCCGUUUUCCUUCACGUGAUAAUGUCUAUGUUUGCCAUCAUUCCUGCAGAGUAACUCCAGGUGUAGGAUCCCGGGUUCAAGCAGGUUCUUAGCACGUCCUCCAGUCUUCCCGGUUUCCAGCGAGAGAUCUGCGGUCACUGGAAUGGUUCUCAGCCUCCUGAACCUAACCACCCCGAUCCAGAUUCUGUGCUCGGCAACCAGUGUCACCUGGUACGCUUACAAUGCUGCUCACAUGACUGGACAGGCCCUGAAAAGCCUAACCCCAACGCUUUCCCGUUGCUUUGAGAAUUCAGAAGGCUUCGUAUGGGAGGGGAGGCGUAGCACCAGGGCCAGUGGAGGCGACGGGAGCAGCUACGGCGGCCACUGGAAAAGUCUGCGCCCCUCUGGGAGGGGGUUCACGUGCAGUGACAGGACCCAGGACACUGCGACCUGGAUGCGUGAGGACUAGCGGCUCAACCCAGACGCCGACGUCCAGCUCUGGCCCCCAUCUCUAACAAAGGGAGGCGACAUACGGAGAGAGGCGACCCCACCAUCGACUCCCUGGGAGCGUACAGCACAUCACACCCAGCAGCGCUCUCUGGAACGGCAAGCCGGGCUGGGGCUCUGGGAAAAUCAUCUAAAGACAAAGAACAGGCCCUUCAUCGUCUUACAAACAAGAACAAAUGGGAAGGUCACGGUUCCUGCAUAAAGGUACGCGGUCAGCACCCACAAUCCUCGGCACACAGGUUGCUCCCCUUACGCGACUGCAUGACGGGGGCGUUGGACGGUCCCUCCCAACAUCUCGCUGCACUCCGGACGGGUCUGUCCCUCUGCGGUUGAGCUCCACCCCCAACAGCCACUGCUCCAGGUGCUGUUCUUACAACGUCUCACCUCGGUGUCUGGAGCCCUCUCCAGCUUUCUUUCCUCGAUGCUGCAAGAGACGUCUUUCUAAAAUACCUCCUGAAAAUGUCAUUCCCCUGCUGAGAACUCCUGAACGACUCCUCAGGACUUCAGAACAAAGCCCAGGCCCCUCUUCAGUCCCCCACUGCUACUGUUACAUCUCUCCAAACCCUACGUCCACUCUCUGCUCCCCAGUCACACUGCGGAUCUGUGCACGCUGUCCUCUGCCCUUCCUCCUCUAGUAACCCCCAUGUGCCUUCAAACCGCGCUCUACCUGCCCUCCCUGCUCACACAGAUCAGUCCUCAUAAAGCCACCGGUGGGACCUACCCUCAGAAUGCAAGGGGACUGAGGGCCUACACUUGUUUUAAUUGCCUUUGUUUUCCCAGGACCAAGCACAGUGCCUGGCGUAAAAUAAAACACAUUCACGUGUCUGAACAAAUGUCCAAACCGUGCUCUGCUCACGUUCUUUUCUUGGAAGAGUAAUUGUUAAUGGAUUUAUUUAUUUUUUUUUUUUAAAAGAUUUUAUUUAUUUAUUUGACAGAGAUAGAGACAGCCAGCGAGAGAGGGAACACAAGCAGGGGGAGUGGGAGAGGAAGAAGCAGGCUCAUAGAGGAGGAGCCUGACGUGGGGCUCGAUCCCGUAACACCGGGAUCACGCCCUGAGCCCAAGGCAGAAGCUUAACCGCUGUGCCACCCAGGCGCCCCUGUUAAUGGAUUUAUUAAGCAUUGCUUUGAA